CCUACGGGGGUCAGCAGUGGGGAAUCUUGCACAAUGGGGGAAACCCUGAUGCAGCGCCGCCGCGUGAGUGAAGAAGUAUUUCGUUAUGUAAAGCUCUAUCAGCAGGGAAGAAAAUGACGGUACCUGAGUAAGAAGCCCAGGCUAACUACGUGCCAGCAGCCGCGGUAAUACGUAGGGAGCAAGCGUUAUCCGGAUUUACUGGGUGUAAAGGGAGCGUAGACGGCAGCGCAAGUCUGGAGUGACAGGCCAUGGCUUAACCCUCGAACUGCUGUGGAAACUGUACAGCUGGAGUGCAGGAGAGGUAAGUGGAAUUCCUAGUGUAGCGGUGAAAUGCGUAGAUAUUAGGAGGAACACCAGUGGCGAAGGCGGCUUACUGGACUGUAACUGACGUUGAGGCUCGAAAGCGUGGGGAGCAAACAGGAUUAGAUACCCUAGUAGUC
rnacentral:rRNA from 1 species